rnacentral:lncRNA from 1 species
UUUGUUUAUCCAUUCAUCCAUAGGUGGACGUUGGAGUUACAUCUACCACUGGCUAUCAUGAACGAUGCUGCUAUGAACAUGUAUGUACUCACAUCUUUGAAUUCCUGCUUUUAAUUCUUUUGGGUAUACACCCAGAAAUGGAAUGGCUGGGUCAUCUGAUAAUCCUUUAUUUAAUGUUGGUGGAAAUACCAUUCUGUUUUCCAUAGUGGAAAUUUUUUAACUUUAAUUUUAAAGGGUAACAUACAUGCUUUAUGGACGGUGAAAAAAUACAGAAAAAUGUGUAGAAGAAAAUAAGUUACUCAUAAUACCACCACUUAUAGGGCCAGUGUUUUCAUUUUGAAAUAAUUCUGGCUAAUCUUCUUUCUUUAUAUCACAUUACAUACAUGGGUUUACCUGACUGUAUUUUUGUUUUUCAAACAGAAGUAUUUAGAUUGUAUUGCCUAUAUAAUCUUGUGGGUUUUUUUUUUACUCCAUAGUAUACUGUGAACAUUUCCAAUUUCUGUUAAUUUGUG